GCUGGGCGUGGUGGUGCAUGCCUGUAAUCCCAGCUACUUGGGAGGCUGAGGCAGGAGAAUUGCUUGAACCCAGGAGGUGGAGGUUGCCGUGAGCGGAGAUCAUGCCACGGCACUCUAGCCCGGCAACAGAGUGAGACUCCGUCUAAAAAAAAAAAAAUGGUGAGGCGUGGUGGCAUGCACCUGUAGUGGUACAUGAUUGUGUAGUGCAAGAUUGCGCCACUGCACUCUGGCCUGAGAGACAGAGCAAGACUCUGUUUCA
rnacentral:sRNA from 1 species